rnacentral:lncRNA from 1 species
AACGUUCCUGGUUGAUGUUUAACACGCAGCUUAUACCAGUCUCUUGUUGUAGAUUGACAACAAGCUGCUUUUUCUAGAAGGAGGAUUGCUUGGGAAACCUUCAGAUGAAAAUGAAAAGAAAACGUCACCAUGGCCAGAGGAGGAGGAAGCGACAGCAACAACAACGGCGUCGACAGCAGCAGCAGGAACGACAGGAGCAGCAACAAGAGCAGCAGCGGCUGCGGCAGCAGCAGCAGCAGGAGCAGGAGCAGCAGCAGCAGCAGCAGGGGCAACAGCGGCAGCAGCAGCAGGGGCAGCAGCGGCAGCAGCAGCAGCAGCAGCAGCAGCAGCAGCAGCAGCAGUGCCAGCAGCAGCAGCAGCAGCAGUGCCAGCAGCAGCAGCAGCAGCAGCAGCAGUGCCAGCAGCAGCAGCAGCAGCAGUGCCAGCAGUGCCAGCAACUGCAGCAGCAGCAGCAGGAGCAGCAGCAGCAGCAACGUAGGAGGAGAAACAACAGGAGGAGCAGGAGGAGCAGGAAGAGUAAGAAGAGCAAGAGGAACAGGAAGACCAGAAACACCAGGAGGAGGAGGAGAAGAAAUAAUGAGUGAUUGUGUCUACGUUUACGGGAAGAGUUUGAUGUGGUAGAAAUGUUGCUUCUUUGGAGAAAUUUGUACUCAAAGAAUUACUCAUGUAGAUAUUCCUCUCUCCCUGCCAAUAAAAUUUCAUCCACCUUUGGUUGUGUACAAGGAAGCUAUUGUGUGUCCAAAGAGUCCUCAGGAAGAGAGGCAUGGAUACUCUUCAGCAAAGAUGUAACACAACAGGCAAGGAGACGGAUCCCAGAGAGACUGCUGGAAUAAAUUUGGAGUUGAGUGAGAAAAAAGAUGGUAGGCUUACACCUUUGGCAUUUACAUCUAACAUAUUUGAAACCAGUUAACAUCAAAUUAUGGAAUGUAAAAGCAGUUUAUUGAAUUCUUGGGAGCUCUUCAUUAAGUUUACUAAUAUCACAGGAUGAGGUGUUUUGUUCCCUAUACUAUGGAGGAAUGAAGUAUCCACACUUUGGUCUUCCUUCUCCUUGAGUUUCAUGUGUUUUGCAAAUUGUAUCUUCUGGACUUCUGGGCUAAGAUCCACUUAUCACCAGUCGGAGUCAAGCAGAGCUAAAGAAAUUUAUUCACACAGAAAAUAUUCCAGUAAUGUUCCUGGUUGAUGUUUAGCUCUCAGCUUGUACGAGGCUCUUGCUGUAGAUUGACAACAAGCUGCUUUUACUAGAAGGAGGCUUGCUCCGGAAGCCUUCAGAUGAAAA